GUGCGACAACAGUGCGACAACAUUGCGACGCAGUGUGAGUCCUGGAGCCGGGGAGAGCAGCAGCUCGGAUAAAGACGACAGGAGACUUCGCAAGGGAUGCUAACUUUUCAGAGACCAGCCGAGGCCUCGCAGGUCAUAAAACACGGAUUUAGAUGAAGGGAGGAGAGAGACUGAGACGUCUGCUGCAGUGGGAAGACAAAAGAAUUCAGAUUUCUUUUAAUACUCAUUUUUAGAGAAUAUUGGUGGAAACUUCUGGAAGCUGUGAUGAGUCGUUAUUGAAAGGAUUCACACUGAAAGCUCCAAUGAGACACAGAGAGUUGGUCCAGUCAGCUGGGAACUGAAGGAAAUCCUCCUUUAUUGAUCUGUCGC